rnacentral:rRNA from 1 species
ACGGAAGGCAGCAGUGGGGAAUAUUGGACAAUGGGGGAAACCCUGAUCCAGCGACGCCGCGUGAGUGAAGAAGUAUUUCGGUAUGUAAAGCUCUAUCAGCAAGGAAGAAAAUGACGGUACUUGACUAAGAAGCCCCGGCUAACUACGUGCCAGCAGCCGCGGUAAUACGUAGGGGGCAAGCGUUAUCCGGAUUUACUGGGUGUAAGGGGAGCGUAGACGGCAUAGCAAGUCUGAAGUGAAAUGCAUGGGCUCAACCCAUGAACUGCUUUGGAAACUGUUAAGCUAGAGUGCAGGAGAGGUAAGUGGAAUUCCUAGUGUAGCGGUGAAAUGCGUAGAUAUUAGGAGGAACACCAGUGGCGAAGGCGGCUUACUGGACUGUAACUGACGUUGAGGCUCGAAAGCGUGGGGAGCAAACAGGAUUAGAUACCCUGGUA